CAGUCGAGAAGUCAUGUUCCUUAGGCCAAUCAGCAGUUGAGUUUUCAUUAACCAUUUGAGCUUUUUAACAUACUUUUUUUAGUAUUAAAUGCAAAUUGUACCAAAAUAAUGUUAACUUUAUCUAUAAUACGACAUGCAGCAGGGUUGUCGUGGAGACGAAGUUGUUCUUCUAUCUGGUCUCUUUCAGCACGAAAUUUGAAGUAUCAUCUUUUCUCACAACUGAUCAUUUUACACAAGUACUUGCUUUUGAAGUCCAUCAGCAAGGUGAGACAGUCGUGUGGUACUCGGAUAUUCAAGUGUGCAAACGUAAACUUUCGU
rnacentral:lncRNA from 1 species